AGUUACCCAAUGCUUUGGCGCAAUAAUAGCAAUUAUGAAGAUCUCGUUGCGGCUGUAACGCGUUCUCCGACAAUACACGUAACUAACACACCUCAGCGCCACCAAACGCACAUGUGGGAAACUAAUCAAACAAAGUGAGAAACAACAAAGAUGCCGAAAACAAAGUAAACGACAAAGAUGCCGGAACACAAAAGAAAUCAUUUAUUCUUUCUUGGACUCUUCUUGAAGUCAUGGCUGUAGCUGUUGGAAGUCACAGUAUUAUACCUAUUGUAUAUCGAACAAAGCUAAAUAAAAAUAUUACUAUUGUUAUUUGAUGUGCAAAGUUUCGGCGCGUAAACUAUAGAUGAUAUUUCUUAUUAUUAGAUCGAACAUUAGAUCGGAAUAGGGCUGUACAUGAAUAAGUGACUUCUUAUCCUUCGAAAAAAUGACUUGCGCGAAUGCCAAUAUAGUGGCAUAACUUUCAAAAAGAUAACAUGCGAAAGCCAUUAUAAUGGCAUUUAGUAACUAAAAGGUUAAAAGAUCAUAUGCGAUAUGUACGGCGUAGAACGAACCAGUUGCGAGAAUGUUUUCACGUGAGCGUAGACGAAGCUGUGUUUAUUUGGUUAGAAUAACAAUUAACCAUCGUCACGGAGAAGUCACAAAAAAUGCUCAAAGUGGCUAAGGUGAAAAACAAAGCACCCGAGAAAAUUUAAAUCGUAGCAAAACAGCUAUUAAGAGAAGCAAAGAAAAAAAUCUUGAUGCAAUAAUGUUAAUCCUAUCUAUAAUUUUACAUAGAGAAGAAUUCAUUUGUAAGUAUUCCCUUUAGCCACCUAAGCAGAAAGUAUAAAAUCCCCAUAAAUUGGCUGAUUAUCAUUAUGGAAAAUGAAAUAUCUAUAACGACAAUAUGUGUAAGAAUCAAAUGGUUAUAACGAAUCUGAUGAAAUAUGCCCGAUGGAAAGAAGGUCAGAAACAAUGCAAAGAGCAAGAUACCUUAAAUACAAGAAAUAGGACAUUUUAUAGUCUUAGUUGUAUUAGAAAUAUUUCAAGGUUUUAUAUGUCCAAUUUAUUUUAAAUUUGUAUGUGAACGUGCGCUAGAUGUUGAUCAUAGAAACAUUACAUUAUGGCUAUAUUAUAUUGAAAUUGAAAUGCGCAAUAAGUAAACAAAUUAUACCAGAAAUUUAUUAGAUCUUGCAGUCACAAUUUUACAUACAACACAUCAAUUUUGAUACAAAUACACAUAUAUGGAAGAAAUAUUAGAAAAUAUUACUGAUAAGAUUUGAUAUAAAAUUAGGGAUUAUUUUUUAUUAUCUAAUUUGAUUUUAUAGAGAUUUAUUAUAGAAACACGUCAAGUUUUUGAGCGAUGGAUGGAAUGGGGACCUGACUAACAGACAUGGCAAACAUAUAUUAAAUUUGAAUUACGAAAUAAAGAGAUACAAAGAGCUAGAUAGAGAUAUAUAAUUGUAUUGGGAGAUAUAUAGUUUUGUAAUAAAUGUAGGACGCAAAGUUUAUGAAGAUGUUAUAAUAAAUUAUUGUAUUUUUAAAUAUUUAAUUUCAUUUAUUUCAAGGUAUGGUAUUGGGUGUUUAUCCCAAAGACAAAUUCUUCUGUGGUUACAAUGAUUUAGAGACACAAUCUAGAGAAUUUGACAGAUGCAGUGUUCUGUAUGAAAAAUUACUUGAAUUUCCACCUCAAAA